AUUGAACGCUGGCGGCAUGCUUUACACAUGCAAGUCGAACGGUAACAGGCCUUCGGGCGCUGACGAGUGGCGAACGGGUGAGUAAUGCAUCGGAACGUGCCCAGUCGUGGGGAUAACGCAGCGAAAGCUGUGCUAAUACCGCAUACGAUCUAUGGAUGAAAGCGGGGGACCGUAAGGCCUCGCGCGAUUGGAGCGGCCGAUGUCAGAUUAGGUAGUUGGUGGGGUAAAGGCUCACCAAGCCAACGAUCUGUAGCUGGUCUGAGAGGACGACCAGCCACACUGGAACUGAGACACGGUCCAGACUCCUACGGGAGGCAGCAGUGGGGAAUUUUGGACAAUGGGCGCGAGCCUGAUCCAGCAAUGCCGCGUGCAGGAAGAAGGCCUUCGGGUUGUAAACUGCUUUUGUACGGAACGAAACGGCGAGCUCUAAUACAGUUUGCUAAUGACGGUACCGUAAGAAUAAGCACCGGCUAACUACGUGCCAGCCGCCGCCGUAACAC
rnacentral:rRNA from 1 species